AUUAGAUACCCGGGUAGUCCGCACAGUAAACGAUGGAUGCCAGCUGUCCGGGCCGAAUGGGGCCUGGGUGGCAAAGCGAAAGCGUUAAGCAUCCCACCUGGGGAGUACGCCGGCAACGGUGAAACUCAAAGGAAUUGACGGGGGCCCGCACAAGCGGAGGAACAUGUGGUUUAAUUCGAUGAUACGCGAGGAACCUUACCCGGGCUCAAACGCGUCAGGGAUCCCCUUCGAAAGGAGGGGAGUCAGCAAUGACCUGGCGCGAGGUGCUGCAUGGUUGUCGUCAGCUCGUGCCGUGAGGUGUCGGCUUAAGUGCCAUAACGAGCGCAACCCCUACCGACAGUUGCUAACUGGUGAAGCAGAGGACUCUGUCGGGACUGCCGGCGCAAGCUGCGAGGAAGGCGGGGAUGACGUCAAAUCAGCACGGCCCUUACGUCCGGGGCGACACACGUGUUACAAUGGCAGGUACAGCGGGAAGCCACCGGGCGACCGGGCGCGGAACCCGAAAACCUGUCUCAGUUCGGAUCGGAGUCUGCAACCCGACUCCGUGAAGCUGGAUUCGCUAGUAAUCGCGCAUCAGCCACGGCGCGGUGAAUACGUUCCCGGGCCUCGUACACACCGCCCGUCAAGCCAUGGGAGCCGGGGGUGCCUGAAGUCCGUGACCGCAAGGGGCGGCCUAGGGUAAAACCGGUGACUGGGGCUAAGUCGUAACAAGGUAACAAGGGCGAA
rnacentral:rRNA from 1 species